AGAGUUUGAUCCUGGCUCAGAAUGAACGUUGGCGGCAUGGAUUAGGCAUGCAAGUCGAGCGAGAAGUUUAAGUUUGACGCUUCGGUUGAUUUCUUAAACGGAAAGCGGCGCAAGGGAGAGUAACGCGUAGUUAUCUACCCCGAGGUCCGGAAUAGCUGCGGGAAACUGCAGGUAAUGCCGGAUAAUAUCCCCGGAUCAAAGGUGUGAUUCCGCCUUGGGAGGAGACUGCGUACUACUAGCUUGUUGGUGGGGUAAUGGCCUACCAAGGCUUUGAUGGUUAGCGGGCGUGAGAGCGUGGCCCGUCUCACUGGGACUGAAACACUGCCCAGACACCUACGGGUGGCUGCAGUCGAGAAUCUUCGGCAAUGGGCGAAAGCCUGACCGAGCGAUGCCGCGUGCGGGAUGAAGGCCUUCGGGUUGUAAACCGCUGUCAGUUGGGAGGAAGGCUCCGUGAAGAGCGGAGCUUGACCUAUCUUCAGAGGAAGUCCGGGCUAAGUUCGUGCCAGCAGCCGCGGUAACACGAACCGGACAAACGUUAUUCGGAAUUAUUGGGCUUAAAGGGUGCGUAGGCGGCGCGGUAAGUGAGGUGUGAAAUCCCACGACUCAAUCGUGGAACUGCGCUUCAAACUACCGUGCUAGAGGGAGACAGAGGUAAGCGGAACUGAUGGUGGAGCGGUGAAAUGCGUUGAUAUUAUCAGG
rnacentral:rRNA from 1 species